UUUAAGCUUCCUACGGGAGGCUGCAGUGGGGAAUAUUGGACAAUGGGCGCAAGCCUGAUCCAGCCAUGCCGCGUGAGUGACGAAGGUCUUCGGAUUGUAAAGCUCUUUUGCCAGGGACGAUAAUGACGGUACCUGGAGAAUAAGCCCCGGCUAACUUCGUGCCAGCAGCCGCGGUAAUACGAAGGGGGCUAGCGUUGUUCGGAAUUACUGGGCGUAAAGCGCACGUAGGCGGAUUUGUAAGUUAGGGGUGAAAUCCCGGGGCUCAACCUCGGAACUGCCUUUGAUACUGCAAGUCUCGAGUCCGGAAGAGGUGAGUGGAAUUCCUAGUGUAGAGGUGAAAUUCGUAGAUAUUAGGAAGAACACCAGUGGCGAAGGCGGCUCACUGGUCCGGUACUGACGCUGAGGUGCGAAAGCGUGGGGAGCAAACAGGAUUAGAUACCCUUGUAGUCGAAUUCUU
rnacentral:rRNA from 1 species